UGCUCAAUGAUAAGUUAUUAAAUAGCCGCAGUAUUUUGACUGUGCGAAGGUAGCAUAAUCAUUUGUCUUUUAAUUGGAGGCUUGUAUGAAUGAUUGGACGAGAGUUUGACUUUCUUUAUAAUAUAUAUUGAAUUUAAUUUUUAAGUUAGAAAGCUUAAAUUUUUGAAAGGGACGAGAAGACCCUAUAGAAUUUUAUUAUUUAAUCUAUAAUAAUUUAUUGGUUAAUUGUUAUAUUUAUAUAGAUAGAAUAAUUUUGUUGGGGUGACAUAAGGAUUCUAAUAACUCCUUAAAAUAACUAGUUAUUACUAAAUAAUUGUAGGAUCCUGUUUGUAUGGAUUAUUAGUUUAAAUUACCUUAGGGAUAACAGCGUAAUUCUUUUGGAGAGUUCUUAUCGAUAAAAGAGAUUGCGACCUCGAUGUUGGAUUAAAAUAAGUUUUAAGUGUAGUAGC
rnacentral:rRNA from 1 species